rnacentral:rRNA from 1 species
UGGGGAAUAUUGGACAAUGGGCGCAAGCCUGCUCCAGCCAUGCCGCGUGAGUGAUGAAGGCCCUAGGGUUGUAAAGCUCUUUCACCGGUGAAGAUAAUGACGGUAACCGGAGAAGAAGCCCCGGCUAACUUCGUGCCAGCAGCCGCGGUAAUACGAAGGGGGCUAGCGUUGUUCGGAUUUACUGGGCGUAAAGCGCACGUAGGCGGACUAUUAAGUCAGGGGUGAAAUCCCGGGGCUCAACCCCGGAACUGCCUUUGAUACUGGUAGUCUUGAGUUCGAGAGAGGUGAGUGGAAUUCCGAGUGUAUAGGUGAAAUUCGUAGAUAUUCGGAGGAACACCAGUGGCGAAGGCGGCUCACUGGCUCGAUACUGACGCUGAGGUGCGAAAGCGUGGGGAGCAAACAGG